rnacentral:rRNA from 1 species
AUUGAACGCUGGCGGCAGGCCUAACACAUGCAAGUCGAACGGUAACAGGAAGCAGCUUGCUGCUUUGCUGACGAGUGGCGGACGGGUGAGUAAUGUCUGGGAAACUGCCCGAUGGAGGGGGAUAACUACUGGAAACGGUAGCUAAUACCGCAUAACGUCGCAAGCCCAAAGAGGGGGACCUUAGGGCCUCUUGCCAUCGGAUGUGCCCAGAUGGGAUUAGCUAGUAGGUGGGGUAACGGCUCACCUAGGCGACGAUCCCUAGCUGGUCUGAGAGGAUGACCAGCCACACUGGAACUGAGACACGGUCCAGACUCCUACGGGAGGCAGCAGUGGGGAAUAUUGCACAAUGGGCGCAAGCCUGAUGCAGCCAUGCCGCGUGUAUGAAGAAGGCCUUCGGGUUGUAAAGUACUUUCAGCGGGGAGGAGGGAGUAAAGUUAAUACCUUUGCUCAUUGACGUUACCCGCAGAAGAAGCACCGGCUAACUCCGUG